rnacentral:rRNA from 1 species
ACAUCCAGCGAAUUCGGUAGAGAUACCUUAGUGCCUUCGGGAACGCUGAGACAGGUGCUGCAUGGCUGUCGUCAGCUCGUGUUGUGAAAUGUUGGGUUAAGUCCCGCAACGAGCGCAACCCUUAUCCUUUGUUGCCAGCGGUCCGGCCGGGAACUCAAAGGAGACUGCCAGUGAUAAACUGGAGGAAGGUGGGGAUGACGUCAAGUCAUCAUGGCCCUUACGAGUAGGGCUACACACGUGCUACAAUGGCGCAUACAAAGAGAAGCGACCUCGCGAGAGCAAGCGGACCUCAUAAAGUGCGUCGUAGUCCGGAUUGGAGUCUGCAACUCGACUCCAUGAAGUCGGAAUCGCUAGUAAUCGUAGAUCAGAAUGCUACGGUGAAUACGUUCCCGGGCCUUGUACACACCGCCCGUCACACCAUGGGAGUGGGUUGCAAAAGAAGUAGGUAGCUUAACCUUCGGGAGGGCGCUUACCACUUUGUGAUUCAUGACUGGGGUGAAGUCGUAACAAGGUAGGCGUAGUGCU